CUACUUGGGGCUAAGAAAAAAGCUCGGCCCUGAAGGUCAAUGGGAAGGACAGCUGGUGCAGCUUCUGAGUGCAGGCCAGGGAAAGCAUUCACCUGCAUGAAAACUGGGCCUGCUGUGCGUGACAGUGAACUACUACUACUGGAUAGAGACUGAUGCCUUUAAGAUAGUCCUAAUUUCAAUCUUCUGUCGUGGAGAAUAUCCAAUCAAAUUAGAAGUGAAACAAGUCAAAAAAUCUCUGGGUGAGAAAGGAAGAAACAUGGUUAGACUACAGUGAUGCCAUGCCCCCAUCUAAGCAUUUGACUUAAGAAAUAGAAACUGUCCAUGAUUAUUGAGUAGGCAUGGCAGUUCAGCUGAAGGAUGAUCAAUGGACAUCAACUCAGAUGCAGAGCUUGAUUGACAGAAGAUUAUUAUCAUUAAAGCUAAUGGAGAAAUUGAAUUGAACUCAAUGGUGUUAGAAAGUGAGAAAAUGGUGAGAGUAACUGAGCAUUGUAAAGGUUUUCUGCCAAAAGCAUGGAGCCUCAGAUAAGUAAUCUCAUCCUUCACCUAUGAUAAAUAAGCUAUUAAAAAUUAAGAAAAAAAGAAACGGAAUGUGUGAAAUGCACAGACAAUGUUGUAGAAACCUCAUUUGUAAGACCAUGAAUCUUCCCCAUUGUUUUGCCACAAUGCUGAAUCUUCUCUAUUUGUACUUUUGUUUACGGAUUUUUCUCAUUCUCAGGCUGAAGAGUUUUGUGCAUGAGACUGAAAUGCUGCCAGGACUGGUCCAUCUGGCUGGCCAAAUGGACUGUGCUCACUGGAGCAAUGCCACAUGUAUACCAGCAGAAAGUUUGAUUUCUGGGCAGUCUAACACCCCGGCUCCUUUUUCAGUGUAAUAGAGACCACAUUUCUGUUUUCCAGAAACUUCUCCAAUUGGCCUGAAUGCUGUCACCUUGUCUUGCCUCCCGUAAUCUUGAUCCCAGGCUCUAGAGAGCUCAAGAGUGCAAAUUCUCCUUUCUAUCAAGUCCAAAGCAGUGAAAUGAGUUUGAUGAAAAGGGUUAUGGCAAGUGAAAAAUCACUAUGUUACAUUUGAUUACAUUUGUCUGACCUUGAACAAUCUUAGGAGCCAGAGUAGUCAUUUCAGUUAAGUAAUUUAGUUUAAAUUGCUUAAUUAAGAAAUAAAAUUUCAUGGAAUUCCCUAGAUUAAUUUGCACUUAUACUUAAGAGCAUCAACUUUUAUAAUCAAUUUAAAGAGGAAAUAGGCCUAGAGUAUUUUAUAGUUUGCAGUGAAAUCUAAUUGGAUUCAUUUGGGCUGAAAUAGGAAAUAUAGAGAGAUCUGAUAUAUUUUUAAUUUCCCACAUCUUAAGAACAAUAAUGGGCAUUUAAUCUUAGUGAGACACUGAGCUUUAGACUUGAAACUGCGGAAAUUGUGGAUUUUGGAGAUAAGUGGCUGAUUCCCCCUGUGUUCUUACCUUUCGGGGAAGGUAUUCAGCGUCUAGAUUGCAGGAACCCACAGGUUGUGCUGGCCUCUGCGUUAGCAGAGCAGGGUGGGUUCCUGGAGCUGUCAAGGCCUGCUCUUCUCAGCCUCUGCAAAUGUUCCCUAUCCAAACCCUCCCCUCCCCUCUUUCUCUAGAAGAUUUAAAUGAGAACAUCAAGAUUAGAUAUGAGUGUUUAUCAACAUUAGAUAUGAUAUGAGUGUUUAAGACGAUUCUGUGUGACAUGCAAGAUAGUGAUUUCAGAGGGGACAGACUGAGAGACAGUGGGCAUUUUUGAGGCCAUGUGUCUGUCUUAGUCAGAGAUCCUAAGAUCCUGAAGUAAGACAGCAGUAGUAGAAAUGGAGAAGAGAUAUUAUAGUGGUCAUAUCAAAAAAUUUGGUGAUCUACUGGGACAAUUUGGGGAAAAAAAGAAGGAUGAGGGAGAAAGAAAAAGCAAGGAUGGCUAGCAAGUUUCUGCCUCGGGUGACAACUAGUCCCCAUGCAUCUGUAUCUUCAAGCUUGCCUGGAGCUGGGCAGGUUAUGACUGUCUUACCAUCCUUUUAUUUUCCAGUGUGUUUCUGUUUGGCAGACAAACUUAUAUGGUCACUUUAGUAAAAGAAUGAAUGGCGAUCACAUUGGGAACCUCGGGGAAGAGAUGAGUUGAAAGGAGGUUUCAGACCUAUUAUAUUUGAAAUGCCUAUGUUACAACUGUAUUUAUUCUCUCACUUCCUUUAAAUCAUUGUUCAAACAUUCCCUUUUCAUUGAGCUUCCCCUGAACAUAUAAUUUAAUGCUUCAACUUCCCCUCUAAAAGUCUUUAAUCCUCCUUUUUUUGCUCUACUUUUUCUUUAAUUAUAGCACUUUACACCUUCUCUCAUGUUGUAUAAUUCACUUACUCAGGAUGUUUAUUGACCACUGCUUGCCCUCUUCUAGGAUGAGAAGCUCCUUAUGGACAAGAAUCUUAGGGUCUUCUGUUUAAUGACGUAUCCAAACACUUAAAACAGUGCCUUCUAUUUAGAAAGUGAUCAGUGAAUAAUUUUGGAAAGAAUAAAUGAGUGAAUGAAUUUAACCAAUAUAGAUUGCAUGCCUACAGUGUCCCAGGAUGUUCAACACAAAGUGAAUCAUAUAAUUUUAGUAACAAGAGAGGUCUACACUAGUGUGUGUCUGUAGAAAGUAGACCAUGUUGGAAGCUGUGACAUGAUUAAUAUGCCGUGGGGAAAUCAUUUUAAAUGAGAUAAGAACAGGGCUUGGGACUGAGGAUAGAAAUGAACAACAAUUAGGUGAGGUUGUGAGAAGAGAAAUUUGGUUGGAAAAUGAGUAGGAGUGGCCAAGAAAAUAAGCAGAACCAGGAAAGUGUAGUGUUAUAGAAACUGAGGAGGAUUAAAAGUUUUUUUUAAGAAGGGACUUGUCAAGAGUACGAAAUAAAAUGCAUUAUUCAAGUAAACCCUGAAUAGUUGUCAUCAAAUUUGUUAUGGGCUGAACUGUGCCCCUUCCACCAUACUCAUAUAUUGAAGCCCGAAAUGACUGUAUUUGGAGAUAGAUAGGAUCUUUAAAGAGGCGAUGAAAGUUAAAUGAGGUCACAAGGAUGGAGCCCUGAUCCAGUGGGACUGGUGUUCUUAUAAGAAGAGAGAAAGACAUUAGAGAUGCACUCAUACAGGUGAAAGACCACGUAAGGACACAGCAAGAUGGUGGCCAUCUGCUCGCCAAGGAGAGUGGCCUCAGGAGAAACCAAACUUGUUACUACCUUGACCUUGGACUUCCAGCCUCCAGAACUGUGAGAAGUAUAUUUCUAUUGUUUGAGCUACCCAGUCUUGGUAUAUUGUUCUGGAAGUCUUAGAAGACUAAUAAAAUUGUCAUUAUCAGAAUGGUGGGAUUGAAGUCACAACAUUUUUCAACAAUGUCUAAAGCUGAUACCAUAAAGCAGUAGGGUAAGGAGUCAAAGGAGGGGAAAAUACAGAGUUGAAUGUUGGUUUACAGCCAAGGAAGGUUGGAGACGCUGACUUAAAUCAUGAAAUUUGGUGUUAUUACCUGGAGAUCACCUAUACCUCUCAAGAAUAAGUCACGUCUUUCCGUGGAUCAUACAAACAGACACGAUCAGACAAUGCAUUUUUUUCCUUCCUCAAAUCAUGCUCCAGAUGAAGUGAGCGCUUUUCUUUUGUCUUGGAGAUCCUGGGCUUUAGAUUGAGAGAUGGCUGGGCAGUGUGAAAUGUUGAAAGCUUUGUUUAUGAUUUGACGUCUUCACAUUGAACUAAGCUAAGAGGUAUUCUGGACCAGAUCUAAACAUAUUUUUCUGGGUAAGAAGUGAUUAUGUUUUACAGAUCUCUUUGAUAUUAUUGUGCUUAAGCCAGCAGACCUCUGUUCUUCCUGACUGGAAAAUAUCCUGUAUGAUACAUUCCAAAUGGCAGGUACAGACUUACUGAACACCUAUGUGCUCACUACUGCUUACUUAAAUAAUCUUUGAGCCAUGAUUUUUUUCUCUGAAUGAAAACAGCUCUAAGAGCCUGUGAAAGACCUUCCUGUCUAAGAAUUAAACACUUGGACUAAGGAGGAGGAAAAAAAUCCAGAAAAGACUCCAUGCUAUCGCCUUUUAGCUUAGACUAUGGGCAAGACUAUCUAAACCUAUCAAACCUCAGGGUCUUCAUCUGAAAAAUGAUAAUCUUAAAGACUGACUUUUUAUUGUGAAAAUAAAAUAAUAUGUCAAGAAUUUUAUAUAGUCCUUGGCAAAUAUAAGUACUCAAUUCACUGCAGAUACUAUUAUUAUUAAUUGCAGCAAUUAGAUAAAUACUGAUCUAGAUAGGUAAGUGUAUGAUUUUAAUGUUUCUGUAAUUAUUACUAUUUUUUAUAGUUGUAAUAUUCUUUUCACACCUCAAUAUAUUGCAAGUUUCAGUGCUCCAGUGAGUCAGAAAAUCACCUGGUCUGUUCAUAAAGACAGAUUCCUAAACUGCACACAUGGUUCAGAUUUGGGAUGGAACAAGGAAAUUUACAUGUCUAAAAAGCCUCCCAGGUCAUUCUUCAGUCCAAAGAAAUUUUAAAAACAGUGCACGGGCACCAUUCACAGAAUCUGUUAACACUCAUGUUUUUAUGUUUUAUUGAAAUAUAACGAAAUACCAUGAUGAAUGGCUAAGUCAUCUGCUCAUCUUCUGGGUAUUUGACAUAAUUCAGAUUAAAUAUCUAAGACUCAAGUGGCUGAUAAGAUGAGUUCCCUUCUCAUCUUGAUAUUUUGGUCCCAUUUGAAAUCGUGUUUUUCCUCCAACACAGACAUGCGCUUUCCUACUGUCAAUAUAACUUAUGUUGUAUUUUCCAUGGUUUUUUUUUCUAUUUUCAUAAUAUUUCUUUUGGCUUCCUCUGCCAAUUUAAAAAAAAAAGAUUCUGAAACAGAUGGGAAAUAUGUGGGUCAAAUUAAGCUACCUGUGGUAGUUUGGGCAUGGUUUCAGCUGCUCUGAGAAAGUUAACAUUAUACAUUGUAACAUCAUAACAUUCAAUGUUACAAUGUAACAUUGCAUAAAGUAACAUUUAUUGUAACAUCAUAUGUUAUAACAUUCAUUACUCUAAGAAAGUUAACAUUGUAUGUACAAGGUAGGAUUCCCUUUCUCUCUCAGAUAACACUCGGAGGGUGGGUAGUCCACCCCAAAAUGGCAACUCUGCUCCAUCAGGUCCAGGGAUACGGCUCCUUCUAC